GCGGCAUUUUUGAAGAGGCGGCCAGUCUGGCGCGAACCAGCACAUCGAUAGCAGUCGGCCGCAUCGAGCGGGAGCGAUAGUGUAAAUUCAUCUACAACCACCUCCGUCUAUUUUGGCCGAGCGAUACCGGCUUAGGCAAAGACGUCAGGCUGCCGGCGAGAGCGUUGCGAGUUACGUAGCCGAACUAAAGAGAUUGGCGCGUCACUUGCUAAUCACAGUCUACUAAGGCAGUCUUCGAAGAAAAUGGCUGAGAGGUUGAGAGGCGGUCGUUUGGG
rnacentral:misc_RNA from 1 species